rnacentral:rRNA from 1 species
GUGUAAUUUUGUAGGGGCGUUCGGUGGAUGCCUUGGCACUGGGAGCCGAAGAAGGACGUUGUAGCCUGCGAUAAGCCUCGGGGAGUUGGCAAACGAGCUGUGAUCCGAGGGUGUCCGAAUGGGGAAACCUGGCCCACGUUAUGGUGGGUUACCCGCACCUGAAUGUAUAGGGUGUGUGGGGGGAACGCGGGGAAGUGAAACAUCUUAGUACCCGUAGGAAGAGAUAUUCCGUGAGUAGUGGUGAGCGAAAGCGGAUGAUGGCUAAACCGUGUGUGUGUGAGAGCUUACGGGCGUUGCGCAUGCGGUGUUGUGGGAUCGUGUUAUGGCCCUCCGUAAAGGGGUCGAGAGUCGUGUGUUGUGGUAGUUGAACCUGGUGGGAAACAGGGCCGUAGACGGUGAGAGCCCGGUAGAUGAAACUGCAGCAUGUGUUCUUAUGCGUCUCCCAAGUAGCACGGGGCUCGUGGAAUCUCGUGUGAAUCUGCAAAGACCACUUUGUAAGCCUGAAUACUCCCUAGUGACCGAUAGUGGAUAGUACCGUGAGGGAAUGGUGAAAAGUACCCCGGGAGGGGAGUGAAAUAGUACCUGAAACCGGGCGCCUACAAUCCGUCAGAGCCUCCUUUGUUGGGGUGAUGGCGUGCCUUUUGAAGAAUGAGCCUGCGAGUUAGUGGCAUGUGGCGAGGUUAACCCGUGUGGGGUAGCCGUAGCGAAAGCGAGUCUGAAUAGGGCGUUUGAGUCGCAUGCUCUAGACCCGAAGCGGGGUGAUCUACCCAUGGGCAGGGUGAAGCACGUGUAAGAGCGUGUGGAGGCCCGAACCCACUUCUGUUGAAAAAGGAGGGGAUGACCUGUGGGUAGGGGUGAAAGGCCAAUCAAACUCCGUGAUAGCUGGUUCUCCCCGAAAUGCAUUUAGGUGCAGCGUUGCGUGUAGCGUGCUGGAGGUAGAGCUACUGGAUGGCUGAUGGGCCCCACCGGGUUACUGACGUCAGCCAAACUCCGAAUGCCGGUUACGUUUGCGUGGCAGUGAGACUGCGGGGGAUAAGCUUCGUAGUCGAGAGGGAAACAGCCCAGACCAUCGGUUAAGGCCCCUAAGCGUGUGCUAAGUGGGAAAGGAUGUGCAGUUGCAGUGACAACCAGGAGGUUGGCUUAGAAGCAGCCACCCUUGAAAGAGUGCGUAAUAGCUCACUGGUCAAGUGAUUGUGCGCCGACAAUGUAGCGGGGCUAAAGUACACCGCCGAAACCAUGGCAACACUUUGUUGAGUGUUGGGUAGGGGAGCGUCGUCAUUGUGGUGAAGCCAGGGCGUGAGCGUUGGUGGAAUGGUGACGAGUGAGAAUGCAGGCAUGAGUAGCGAAAGACGGGUGAGAAACCCGUCCGCCGAAUGACUAAGGGUUCCAGGGCCAGGUUAAUCCGCCCUGGGUUAGUCGGGACCUAAGGCGAGGCCGACAGGCGUAGUCGAUGGACAACCAGUUGAUAUUCUGGUGACCGGCGAAAAACCGUCCAAUGCUGAGGUGAGGGAUACUAACCAUCCAAACCACUAUCAGGCCCUUCGGGGUGUGGUGGUGGUGCGCGUGGGACCUGAUCUUACGGUAGGCAAGCGUAUUAACAGGGGUGACGCAGAGAGGUAGCCACCGCGUGUCUUAUGGCUUGGCACGUUUAAGGACGCAGCCCGUUUCCUAGGUAAAUCCGGGGAACAUGGAGGGUGAGGUCUGAUGAUGACCCCUUUAUUGGGGGAAGUAGGGUGAUCCUGUACUGCCGAGAAAAGCCUCGACGUGAGGUUUGAGCCGCCCGUACCCGAAACCGACACAGGUAGUCAGGUAGAGAAUACUAAGGCGUUCGAGAGAAUCGUGGUUAAGGAACUCGGCAAAAUGCCCCCGUAACUUUGGGAGAAGGGGGACCUGAACCUUGAAGCCAUUUUCUGGCUAGGGGUGAGGGUCGCAGAGACCAGGGAGAAGCGACUGUUUAUCAAAAACACAGGUCCGUGCGAAGUCGUAAGACGAUGUAUACGGACUGACGCCUGCCCGGUGCUGGAAGGUUAAGAGGACUGGUUAACUCACUUUUGUGGUGGGUGAAGCUGGGAAUUUAAGCCCCAGUAAACGGCGGUGGUAACUAUAACCAUCCUAAGGUAGCGAAAUUCCUUGUCGGGUAAGUUCCGACCUGCACGAAUGGCGUAACGACUUCUCCGCUGUCUCGACCACGAACUCGGCGAAAUUGCACGACGAGUAAAGAUGCUCGUUACGCGCAGCAGGACGGAAAGACCCCGGGACCUUUACUAUAGCUUGGUAUUGGUGUUCGGUGCGGCUUGUGUAGGAUAGGUGGGAGACUGUGAAGCAUUCACGCUAGUGGGUGUGGAGUCGUUGUUGAAAUACCACUCUGGUCGUAUUGCACAUCUAACUUUGGACCAUGAUCUGGUUCAGGGACAGUGCCUGGUGGGUAGUUUAACUGGGGCGGUUGCCUCCUAAAUGGUAACGGAGGCGCUCAAAGGUUCCCUCAGCCUGGUUGGUAAUCAGGUGGCGAGUGCAAGUGUACAAGGGAGCUUGACUGUGAGACUGACAGGUCGAGCAGGUGCGAAAGCAGGAACUAGUGAUCCGGCGGUGGCUUGUGGAAGCGCCGUCGCUCAACGGAUAAAAGGUACCCCGGGGAUAACAGGCUGAUCCUGCCCAAGAGUUCAUAUCGACGGCAUGGUUUGGCACCUCGAUGUCGGCUCGUCGCAUCCUGGGGCUGGAGUAGGUCCCAAGGGUUGGGCUGUUCGCCCAUUAAAGCGGUACGCGAGCUGGGUUCAGAACGUCGUGAGACAGUUCGGUCCCUAUCCGCUGCGCGCGUUGGAAACUUGAGAAGGGCUGUCCUUAGUACGAGAGGACCGGGACGGACGAACCUCUGGUGUGCCAGUUGUACCGCCAGGUGCAUGGCUGGUUGGCUACGUUCGGAAGGGAUAACCGCUGAAAGCAUCUAAGCGGGAAGCCUGCUUCAAGAUGAGGUUUCCAUCCAACCUUCGGGUUGGUGUAGGCCCCCUAAAGACUAUGGGGUUGAUAGGCCAGAUGUGGAAGCACUGUAAGGUGUGGAGCUGACUGGUACUAAUUGGCCAAAAGAUUACACAACACCAUAA